UACGUAGGGGGCAAGCGUUGUCCGGAUUUAUUGGGCGUAAAGAGCGUGUAGGCGGUCUGGUAGGUCCGUUGUGAAAACUCGAGGCUCAACCUCGAGACGUCGGCGGAAACCAUCUGGCUAGAGUCCGGAAGAGGAGAGUGGAAUUCCUGGUGUAGCGGUGAAAUGCGCAGAUAUCAGGAAGAACACCCGUGGCGAAGGCGGCUCUCUGGGACGGUACUGACGCUGAGACGCGAAAGCGUGGGGAGCGAACAGG
rnacentral:rRNA from 1 species